CAGGGCUAAGUCUCUCGGUGCACUCUGAGAUCUCCCUGCCUGUAGGAUGAGGACUCUCCAGCUGAGCAGAUUCAGGCAUGAGAGUUGGUUCUGGAAGAGAAACUGAAAGAUUUAAUCAUGGGUAAGGACAGGCUCAGCCGACUCCAGCAGGAAGAAAACUGUACUGAAAACAGUGAACUCAUGAAUGAGAGAGAGAAGAACUGAUGCUUUGCACACAGCAAUGGCUCCGGGAAUCCUUGAAUUCUGUGAUUCAAAGAUCUCCUGAAUGGAAGACUCAGUUGGAGCUGAAAAAGCUGGCAUCACUGUCCCCCUGGAUUAAGUAGCUUGCUACACACAGCUGAAAUUCUACAACGUAAUACUGCUGUUCACAUGCUACUUGGGCAGGAUUACUUUACUAAAGCACAAAAUGGGAAUUCCAGAAAUGUCAGAAUUCUCCCCAACAUUCCAAAAAAAAACACUGGGAAGAAACAUCUUGUUCUCUGGACUGCUAAGGGAAGAGGGACCUGCACUCAGGGAUGGAGUACUUAAAGUGCUUGCUGCAAGGUGAGUGCUUGUGGGACUAGAAGAUGAUCCCACAGUUCACUUCUAACUGUUCAGGGCACGAAGAAUAUGGCACAUCUAAACAUAUUCUUCGCAGUGAGAAACACAGAGGCUGGAAUUUAAAUCUCACUGAGGUUAGCUUCUUCCCACAGUGACUUAAUUCCACCUCGAGAUUUCUGCAUCACUUCAAGUCAUCACUGCAUUUCUGCAUCACUUCAUGAUGCCAAAGAAUUAGCGCAUCUAGCCUCUGUUUUGCCCUCUCAGGGUUCUCCUCCUGCCUUGGUGCUCUCUCCAUCACUCCCUGCUUUCAACCAGGCUUGCAGUUCCCUCUUGAUAAAAUCUCCUACAGCUGCUGAAUGAGUCUGAAGGCAGCUCCUGCCUAGGUCAAUCCACAGAGAGUGGGAAAGCGAGCAGUCCCCAGGACACUGCAGGAACAAAUAUCAUUUCAGUUGAUUUCUAGCUACAGUCACCAGUGAGCAUUUUCUCAUCCCUUCAGUUUCAGUCCAAGCAAUUAAAAGGAUGAAAAGAAAUAGGAGGCUUUCUGUAAUAUAGCAUCUUCAGAAUUCUUUCCCUUGGCCAAGGUACUGAAUUUGUAGCCUAAUAAGUGGUUAAGACCUGAUGCUCCGGGGAAGGAGAGGAGAGACUCCCCCGCAACGCACUGAGCAAGAGCGAAGGGUGGUACACACGGAUGUCCCUCCUGACCUGUGCAGUGAAUGCCUUGGCACAAGUCAUAGCCACCAGCUAUUCUCAAGCGAACUUUGCUGAUGCAGACCUGUUUGGACCCAUGUCGCUAUGCCCCACCACCCCCUCACGCCUGGGCCAUACCUGUCCCCAGAUGGUCCCUUCCGAGUUCUCCACCUGCUCCCACCGCAGCCUCUUGACGCUCAUGUGGUUGGACUCGCUUCUGCGAUGCACCAGGCCCCGGUGCA